UUUUUUUUAAAGAAGUCGGUUUCUACUUUUCUUCAUCCGUUUGUAUAAAAAAGUAGAAGCACUUUUUAGAAGUUACAAAUGCUAGUUUUUCUCUAACACCUUCUGCUUUUUUCCGAAACACUUUGAUCUAACUUGUACUUCACUUUUUUACUUUCAUCAAGAAACACUUGUUCUAAGCUCACCCAAACGGCCCAGUACAUUUUCCACUUUCCGCUCGAAAAACGAGGGAACAGUGCGUUGCACUUUUUGAUUGUCGAUCAUAGACGAUAAGACGGGAAACACAUCAAUGGACAAUGGCCGAGACAGAUGAAGAAAAGGAAACGCCGAUACAAACACAGAUGUGGGUGAGGGCCGGUUCAGAUGUAAAAAGAGCUUGAACUGACCUCAGGAAAUUGGAUGAUGUCAUGUUGAAGCUGCUCGAAAGACAAUCUAAUUGCGCCUUGAAGCAGCUAGUUCAGGGGACCAAAUAACACAUGUGCAAUUCUUGAAAGAGAUACUGAAUAAAGUUUUAACUCUGCCUGUACAACAAAAGGGGGACAAACCACCGAACCUCCUAGCUUAAGCCAGGAUAGAAGAAAAGUGCGGGAUACAGGGGCGAGUUCUAUGCUACAAAGUGUGGCUGUAAAACCAGUUCCAUGACUUCCAAUGCCCACCGGUUGGAAAGUGCAGAACAAGAUUUUUAACUACUCUACAUAAUAGUUCUACUUUCAACAGAGCACUAAAUAAUUUGCUCGAAUAUUCAGAUCUGAUCUCUAGUAACAGAAGAGAAGUCCUUAGUUAUGCCAUGCUGAUAAUGAUGUUGCUCUAGUCAAAAAGGAUUUGGGUUUGGGGGCACACAAAGGAAUUGUUGCCAUGGGUGGAGAUGGGAAUCAUAGUGAGUGCCAAAAGCCAAGUAAAAGCAGGAAAGAGCUGCUAGUGUGUAGGCACUAACAGGUAAAAACUGGAAAAGGGGCCAAAACAAAUAAAGAUGAAAGGAUCUUUCCAAAGUAGGGGAAUGGUCCUCUCCAUGUCUGCAGUCUUCCUUCUCUUUGCAUUUUUUAUUUAUGAAAAGCAGAAUAGAAAGCUCCUGUUAAUGCAGAUCUUGUUUAUUGAUUUCUAUAAAGCAGAAGACAUGAUGAUGGGCAAGAGAUGGUGAUCUCAAACACAGAAGUCUUCAGCUGAGUUCUUUCUUUCUUUUUAUAAAGAAACUUUAGUCAAGUUGGAAUAUUCUUGCCGAAAACCAGAGAUUUUUCAUUACUGUUAUGGCUGGACUCAUGUGAAAGUCUUCCCCACAUCCCUUAAAAAAAAUUGGUUUUCUUGAGGAAAUGAGGUGUCUUGUUAAGUCUCGCAAAGACUAUUGUCAGAGUUCUUUAUUUAGUAAUUUGGUUCGCAGGCAUAUGAUCAUUGAGAACUAGGAGUGUAACCACAAACUAUAUGUUGAUUUUGCUGAAUAUUUGAAUGUAAAGAUCUUGAAAUAGUGGUGAUUGUAUUGAUGAACUGAUAUCGCUCACAUUCAUCAAAGAGAUGCUCCACCAUACAGGUCUAUCACAAAUGAUAGAGGAGCAUGAUAGUUACCUUACAUGUAUGUGGGAGAUUCAGAGGAUUGAAUCUGUUGGGCUUUUUACUUGUGGUGUUGAUGUAGAUUUAUGAAUGCGGCAUUCUUCCUUU